CUGAGGUAUGUGGAUAGAUUCUCCUCCCCCCCAACCCCGUGUGGUACAAUCCAGUGACUUCUUCCUCAGGCUCUAGAGAGCUCACCCCUACACUGGAAGAAGGAAAGGGGUGGGGAGAGGGGAAGUACUAAGAGUCUGUUACUAAGUUGCCACCGCAAUUAAGAGGGACCGUUUCCAAUCUUAGCACUGAUUUCCGGAAGUGUCGUUGGCGGCUAUUUCCAUGGCAACCAGGAGCGGCAGUUCCCUGGGCAGGAGCACUCCUUUCCAGAUCUGUUUCAUUCCCUCAGGAAUGCACACAUCGAAAGCUAAUCACCAAGGCGUUAUUACCAAAAAGCUGAGCCUUUAGGAGAUGGUCCGCCCAGGCGGGAGUGUGUGGUGAAGGUUGUUUGCACCGUCGUGGAUCAGGAAGCGCCGACUAUGGUGGAAACUUCAGCGAGGGCUAUAACCUCCAAAGGCCUAAACUCCUAGUGGCCCAUUUUCUCUAGGUGGCAUCUCUCAAGGCUUUUCCACCCCCCAAAUUCACACCACAAGCUGGGGACCAAGUAUUCAAAUCAUGACUUGUGUUCGGGAUGGUUCAGAUUCGAACCACAAAGACAGUCUAAUCCUUAUGCAUGGAAUUUGCAUCCUUGUUGGAAUUUGAAGGGAGGCGGUUCGACCUCUCACUGUAGGCCCCUAGGGCCACCUUCCCAGAUUCUCACAGGCCGAGCUCAGGAGAAUGGCAGCCGGGAGGAUGGCCAACAUGGAAAAGACUGCAACCCCAAAACUCCAUUAUUGUGCAAUCAAGAUGAAAGUCAUUCUCUUUGCUGACAAGGCUCUCCAGAGAUGUUAUUUCCCUGACCCCUGUGGAGAAGACUUCCUAACCAACUUGGGUGGCAGCCCAGGGAAACCCAGGGAGAACUUUUGUUCCUUAACAUAUUUAGUCUAGGAACUCAGAGUUCUGUCUACAUGGAGUGCUGCUUUAGAUCUUCGGACCUCAUGGUGGACAAAGACUCAGUUCACGUGACUUGCUGAAGAGCCAAUGAAGAAAAAAAUUGGUAUCCUUAAGAGCAUUAUUUAAAAAGAGAUGUUUUUGUUUAGAAAAACACAAAUCCACCCCCCCCAUGUUUUAAUCAACAAAGAGCUAAACGGCCUAAUAAAAUUUCAGAAUCAAAACAAAA